GGGCCUUGUGCUUAGAUGCUGGAGGCAAUAUUAUACACGAGCAACAGUUUUCCGGAACUAAGGCUCUGGCACCUCUAUAUGUUGGUUAGGUUUUUGUAAACACAGAACGUUUGGGAUUCAUAUUUUACGUCAAUACUGCAGCGAUUAGAGUAAGGUAGCCCUCUAAUUCCAAGCGGAAAGCGCACCGCAACGUUCCACCCGGUUUCCUCUGUUGCAAAAUGCUGGGACGACUAUGAAACAGCAAGCUCACGCCAUCGUUCUAGUGCUGACUCUGUUUUACGUGCCAUCGGAAAUGCUCGAUCCGAUAUGCUCGAUGCCGUUCGAUGUUGGAGACUGCAAGAUAUGGAAAUUUCAGUGGAUGUGGUUCUACGACACUGUCACAGAGAUGUGUAGACCGUUUCUCUACGGCGGAUGUGGGGGAAACAGAAACAGAUUUCAAGACUGUCAAAGUUGCAAGCAAACGUGCAUGGCUCAAAGAUGUGCCCAACGGGCACCGGGACAGGAUCCGUACCUCUAUAAAUAAAAUUAACCAAUCAAGAGGAUGAGAGUGUAGGCACAGCUUCAUGACUGUGUGCAACAUUUAGGUGCUGAUUACCAUUCCAGCUGGAAUAAAUGGCAUUCGCU